rnacentral:tmRNA from 1 species
GGGGGUGAUUUAGAUUCGACGCCGGUAGGGUGGGUUGGAGAAGCGAGCCGAGGUUCCGCCCCUCGUUAAACAGCGGAACGGCCAAUAAGUGCCAACGAAGAGCUCGCUCUGGCUGCUUAAUCGCUAGCGGCCAAGCCGCGUGAGCCCCUGCCUGCGGGGCGGGCGCGGUUUCAUGCAGCAGGCUGGCCGCCUGCCCGGCCCGCGGGGCGGGCGGUGAGAUCCAAGCGGGCUGGCCCGUCCCGGACCCUGCCCCUGGGGGACGGGAGGGCGAGACCCAUCCAGGGGCUACGCUCGUAGAGGCUCCGGCUGGCCCGCCGGCGGACCGGGGUGCAAAUCCCCGCACCUCCACCG